rnacentral:tRNA from 1 species
GCGCUGGUGGUUUAGUGGUGUAAGUGCAGUCCACUCCAUUGGGAGUAAGAGACAUGAUGGCUAAUUAAUUGAUAGAAAAUCCGUGCUUGCCAUGAAGCUGAUUGCACGGGCCCCGCGUUCGAUUCGCGGUCAGCGCA